CAGUCGAACGGUGAACACGGAGCUUGCUCUGUGGGAUCAGUGGCGAACGGGUGAGUAACACGUGAGCAACCUACCCCUGACUCUGGGAUAAGCGCUGGAAACGGCGUCUAAUACUGGAUACGAGUGGCGACCGCAUGGUCAGCUACUGGAAAGAUUUAUUGGUUGGGGAUGGGCUCGCGGCCUAUCAGCUUGUUGGUGAGGUAAUGGCUCACCAAGGCGUCGACGGGUAGCCGGCCUGAGAGGGUGACCGGCCACACUGGGACUGAGACACGGCCCAGACUCCUACGGGAGGCAGCAGUGGGGAAUAUUGCACAAUGGGCGCAAGCCUGAUGCAGCAACGCCGCGUGAGGGAUGACGGCCUUCGGGUUGUAAACCUCUUUUAGCAGGGAAGAAGCGAAAGUGACGGUACCUGCAGAAAAAGCGCCGGCUAACUACGUGCCAGCAGCCGCGGUAAUACGUAGGGCGCAAGCGUUAUCCGGAAUUAUUGGGCGUAAAGAGCUCGUAGGCGGUUUGUCGCGUCUGCUGUGAAAUCCGGAGGCUCAACCUCCGGCCUGCAGUGGGUACGGGCAGACUAGAGUGCGGUAGGGGAGAUUGGAAUUCCUGGUGUAGCGGUGGAAUGCGCAGAUAUCAGGAGGAACACCGAUGGCGAAGGCAGAUCUCUGGGCCGUAACUGACGCUGAGGAGCGAAAGGGUGGGGAGCAAACAGGCUUAGAUACCCUGGUAGUCCACCCCGUAAACGUUGGGAACUAGUUGUGGGGUCCAUUCCACGGAUUCCGUGACGCAGCUAACGCAUUAAGUUCCCCG
rnacentral:rRNA from 1 species